CGUAGUCGAUGGGAAACAGGUUAAUAUUCCUGUACUUGGUGUUACUGCGAAGGGGGGACGGAGAAGGCUAUGUUGGCCGGGCGACGGUUGUCCCGGUUUAAGCGUGUAGGCUGGUUUUCCAGGCAAAUCCGGAAAAUCAAGGCUGAGGCGUGAUGACGAGGCACUACGGUGCUGAAGCAACAAAUGCCCUGCUUCCAGGAAAAGCCUCUAAGCAUCAGGUAACAUCAAAUCGUACCCCAAACCGACACAGGUGGUCAGGUAGAGAAUACCAAGGCGCUUGAGAGAACUCGGGUGAAGGAACUAGGCAAAAUGGUGCCGUAACUUCGGGAGAAGGCACGC
rnacentral:rRNA from 2 species